rnacentral:lncRNA from 1 species
AACUGGAGUGGCCAAGACGUAAAUUUGGGAGGUGGGAUCCAGUGUGGCUGCAACCACAGGCAGUGAGCAAACAGGAAGCGGGCUGAUGUCAUCCCUGCGUCACACGGUGGGAUGCUGGCACUGGGCUCUGCUGCUCCUUCACGUGUCGACAGACAUCAGGAGCAGGCAGACUGCCUGCAGCUGCCAGAGCUGGUGAUGGGAAGAGGUGAUCCUCACACUCAUUGUUCUGGCUGCGCACUGGCCAGAGGUGACGGAGCUGUAGCUGUGCUGACCUUUGGGAGACGAUGUGUGCCAGGGCAUCUCUGUAGCAGGCUCAGCUCGGCCCGUCCCCAUGGUGCGAUGCCUGAUGCCCUCGGGCCUCAGUCGGCAGUGUCCCCUGGCCGCAGAGCUGUCCCCCCGCGGGCAGGAGGUGGCAGCAUUGCACAGCCCAGCGGAGCCUGCUCCCCUGCAUGCCCACGCACGGGCUAGUUACUGCCCGGGAGCUGCAGACCUGUUUUUCCUGCUCCUCCAAGGAUACGUGACUCGAGCGCUUGCAGACUGCUCAAAUCUCAUCCAGAGCAAUCAUUAAAAACGACUAAACCCCAAAGGCCUCUAAGUGCACAUCAGUCCUAAUCUGUUUGCAAAUCACGAUUAACCGUAAUGUGAGGGCAAGUGAGGACAGAAAGGCUCUGUAUUUAGAAAUGAGUGUGAUGUUCAGAUACACCUCGUUUGCCCUUGAAGCUCCAGCCCCCUUAAGUGCCGUGUGAUGUGUCAGAGCUCCUCCGCACAGAAUCCACAUUCCCUCUCAGUGAGAAGAGUGCAGAUAUUCUUGCUCUUACAAAUGUUCCCUUACAGUAUUGAGGUAGGAAUGAGUUGGAGGCUCACUUGCUCUCUCAGCAUCACUUUCAUUCUGUCAGAUACGGUACAGUCUGAUCUGAUUUUGAGUCUUCUCAAUUUAUUUUUAUUGGAAAUGCAGAGGGACCUGUAGUAGAACCUUGGGUCUAAACACCCUGAAACGUAAGGGGAAUUUGGAGCUGAUAUUUGCAGCUCACAGCAUUGCUGACUGCCAAUUUUCCCUCUCCAUUCCUCCUGGUCUCUCACCAUGGAGUCAUCCUGUAGCUAAGUGAGUCCACCACAGGAAGAAAGACAGCAAAUCACAGACUUCCCUCACUGGGCAACAGCCACAUGGACACAAGCCAGGACUUUUUUGCACUUGUGCAGACCGAAAGUGUUUGUACCACAGUAACUUUACCAAGUUAGAAAGCAAUAUGGUGGGUGCAAUACAAGCCUCCCUUACCAUGUGGAUGCUGCUAUGCCAGGACUCCUCUACCUUCAUACGAACAACUUCCUAUUGAUAUAGUAAUGUCCUAACCUGGACAUUUUAAUCUCAGUUUUAUCAAAGUGUUAGCUGUUUAAAACAAUCUGUACAUUGACCGGUCUUAAAAUCAAUUUUUUUGUUAUUCCCAUGGCUUUAAGUACACCAGGCAAG